UGGUGGGUAGUUUGACUGGGGCGGUCUCCUCCUAAAGAGUAACGGAGGAGCACGAAGGUUGGCUAAUCCUGGUCGGACAUCAGGAGGUUAGUGCAAUGGCAUAAGCCAGCUUGACUGCGAGCGUGACGGCGCGAGCAGGUGCGAAAGCAGGUCAUAGUGAUCCGGUGGUUCUGAAUGGAAGGGCCAUCGCUCAACGGAUAAAAGGUACUCCGGGGAUAACAGGCUGAUACCGCCCAAGAGUUCAUAUCGACGGCGGUGUUUGGCACCUCGAUGUCGGCUCAUCACAUCCUGGGGCUGAAGUAGGUCCCAAGGGUAUGGCUGUUCGCCAUUUAAAGUGGUACGCGAGCUGGGUUUAGAACGUCGUGAGACAGUUCGGUCCCUAUCUGCCGUGGGCGCUGGAGAACUGAGGGGGGCUGCUCCUAGUACGAGAGGACCGGAGUGGACGCAUCACUGGUGUUCGGGUUGUCAUGCCAAUGGCACUGCCCGGUAGCUAAAUGCGGAA
rnacentral:rRNA from 4 species